AUGGAAAAUAAAAGCUAUAAUUAGAUUCAAUGAUAUCUAAUAACAUACCAAGGAGUAAAGGACUAAUUGAGGAUGACUAGUCAUUCUAUAAAUUGGAGGGCGAAUGUCCAAAUGAAAAAAGGAAUAUUUUUUCGAAUCCAAAGGUGAAAACACCAAAAAAGAAUAACCCUGUAAAUUGAAACAUCUUAAUAACAGGAGGAAAAAAAAUCAACCGAGAUUUUAACAAGUAGUGGCGAGCGAAAGUAAAAGAAAGAAGAUUCAUGUAAAGAGCUAAAACUCAAACGGAAUCAAAGAUAUGAUAAUUGAAUGAGAAUGGAAUAUCUCUACCAAAGAAGGUGAAAGUCCUGUAAAAAAAAAUCAUAAAAAUCAAGAGUAGAACGAAAAUUUGUUCAGAAGAAAGGGGUACCAUCCUCUAAAAAAAAAUAUGAUAGAAUGAACGAUAGUGAAGAGUACCGUGAGGGAAAGUUGAAAAGUACCUAAAGAAAAAAGAGCAAAAUUGUUCUUUGUAGGGAGGAAAAUAAUAUUUCCAAUCAAAUUUCGGAUAGGGGUGAAAAAGAUCCUGAAUCAGUUAAGUCUAAAAGCAGUCGAAGGGAGAAAAAAACCUAACGGCGUACCUUUUGCAUAAUGGGUCAGCAAGUUAAUUUUUGGAGCGAGAGAGAAAGAAACCAUAAUAAAGAAGGAGUAAAGUUCUUCCGUAAUUAAUAGGGUUUGAUCUAAGUGAAAACAAAAUAAUAGAGGGAGCGAAAGUUCAUGUUAUUAUUAGAAGUUCCAGAAAUUAGACCCGAAACCAAGUGAUCUUUCCAUGGAUAGGUGAGGAAAAAAGAAGCUUUGCUUCGAUUCCUAAGACCGAACGGUUGAUCGUAGUAAUGAUCUCCGAUGAGCUGUGGAAAGCAGUGAAAAGCUAAUCGAACUUGGAAAUAGCUGGUAUACCGCGAAAACUAUUGAAGUAGAACACUAAACAUAAAGAAGAACAGAGUUCAAUUCAACACGAAGGUACAGCACUGGAAGAAAAUUCUAAACUGGAAAUAUCGUAAAGAAGUAAAAAAAUAAAGUUUAGUAGUCAGAUUAUCUGUGAUAAGGUAGUUAAUCAAAAGGGAAACAGCCCAGACCAAGAGUUAAGGUCCCAAAUGAAUACUAAGUGAAAUUAACCGAAAACAAGAAAAACCGUAGGAAUAGGAUGAAUGGAAGAAAUUUUAGAUUUCUUUUCCUACGAGGUAUGAUCAAAACAAUCAUUUUGUGGGCUUUGAAGCAGCCAUCAAUUAGAGAAAGCGUUACAGCUCAAUGAUCAGAAAGGAAACUUUAAGAUUAUGUUUAAAUCGGGAAAAUGUAUCGGGUCUUAAAAAGUAUUCAACCGAAACUUUGGCAAAACAAAAACGUUAAAGGGUAACCAAAAAAAAAGAAGGAAGUUCUUGAAUUUAAACGUUGUUAUUGGGUAGCGGUACAUUCAAUAGAUGGAGUGAAGAAGAAAUGUUAAUUUCUUUGGACAAAAUUGAAGAGAGAAUGCUGACAUGAGUAACUAAAAAGGAAAAAAAAAUCCUUCCUCUAAAAUUCAAGGGUAAAUUGAUAAUCGGUUUCUAAGAAAUACAAACCUAAAGGUUGAUUUCGAUGAAGAAUAAAAGGAGUGUAGCUCAAUUUAAUUCAACCGUACCUACCAACGCAGGAGAAUGAGCUGGUAAACAGUGAAGAGGAAUGGGAGAACCAUCUUGAAGGAACUAGGCAAAAUAACUCUGUAACUUAGGGAGAAGGAGGGAGGAAGAAAAAAAAAAUCUUCCUUCAAAAAAUAGAGAGGGGCGACUGUUUACUAAAAACACAGGAGUCAGCAUAGAGGUAACUCAUUGUAUUGGCUCUGAAGUCUGUCCGGUGCAAGUAAGUGAAAGAUGAAAAGGAGCAAUCUUUUUCUCAUAAUCUCUUGUAAACGACGGCCUUAACCAUAAGGGUCCUAAGGUAGCGAAAUUCCUAGUCUAAUAAUUGUAGUCCAGCAUGAAUGGCGUAACGAUCCCUCUACUUUCUACAAGAUGGACGCAGUGAAAUUGAAUUAUCCGUGCAGAUGCGGAUUACCAUUGCCUAGACGAGAAGACCCUAUGAAGCUUUACUGUAAUUAAAUAACAUCUUAUUGGUGAACUGAACACAGGAGAACAAUGUUGACCUCUUUCAUUCACUAGGGAUAGGGAAAAUAUGUUGCUUAUAUGUUUAAGUGACAGUUUAACUGGGGAGGUUUCCUACUAAAUAGUAACGAAGGAGUACAAAGGUAUAAUUGAAGUCACUCUGUAAUUGACUUGAAAAAACAAAGGAACAAUGUUCCAAUAAAAUGAAAUUGUAUAAUGGCAUAAAUAUGCUUGACUGUAAGACAAACAAGUCGAACAGGGAGGUAACUCGGUCAUAGUGAUCCCCAAAUUCUUAAUGGAAAGGUUUGGGCUCAACGGAUAAAAGCUACUCUAGGGAUAACAGGCUGAUCAUUCUUUAGAGUACCUAUCGACGGAAUGGUUUGGCACCUCGAUGUCGGCUCAUCGCAUCCUGGGGGUGAAGAAGCUCCCAAGGGUUGGACUGUUCGUCCAUUAAGGCGGUACGUGAGCUGGGUUUAGAACGAUGUAAAUCAGUUCGGACUCUAUCUACCAAUGGAAAGAAGGAAGCAACAAGAAUAGAAUCCUAGUACGUAAGGACUGGAUUGUGUGAACCUAUAGUGUACCUGUUGAAAGAAGUGGAUUGAAUGAAAGUUCCCCUUUAUUCAUCACAGGGUAGCCACGUUCAUAAAAAAUAAGAGUUGAAAGCAUCUAAAACUCGAAGUUGAUCUUGAAGCUCCCAUUUAAAGAAACACGCUACAGAUUAUAGCGAAAUAGGUCAUAGGUAUACAAUCUGAAAGGAUUAGGCUGAAUGAUACUAAUAGUUAAUAUCCUUGGUAUGUUGAU
rnacentral:rRNA from 1 species